UCCGUAGGCGGUUUAGUAAGUCAGUGGUGAAAGCCCCUCGCUCAACGAUGGAACGGCCAUUGAUACUGCUAGACUUGAAUUACAAAGAAGUAACUAGAAUAUGUAGUGUAGCGGUGAAAUGCUUAGAUAUUACAUGGAAUACCAAUUGCGAAGGCAGGUUACUAUUUGUGGAUUGACGCUGAUGGACGAAAGCGUGGGGAGCGAACAGGAUUAGAUACCCGAGUA
rnacentral:rRNA from 1 species